rnacentral:rRNA from 1 species
GGAUACGCUACGGCAGGCUAAUACCUGCAGUUGAACGGUGCCUUCGGGCAUAGUGGCGCACGGGUGCGUAACACGUAUGCAACCUACCUUACAUUGGGGGAUAGCCUUUCGAAAGGGAGAUUAAUACCGCAUAACACAGUGAGUUGGCAUCAGCUUAUUGUUAAAGAUUUAUCGAUGUAAGAUGGGCAUGCGUCCAAUUAGUUAGUUGGCGAGGUAACGGCUCACCAAGACGAUGAUUGGUAGGGGAACUGAGAGGUCAAUCCCCCACACUGGCACUGAGAUACGGGCCAGACUCCUACGGGAGGCAGCAGUAGGGAAUAUUGGGCAAUGGACGCAAGUCUGACCCAGCCAUGCCGCGUGCAGGAAGACGGCCCUCUGGGUUGUAAACUGCUUUUAUAUAGGAAGAAAGAAUCCUUGCGAGGAUAGUUGACGGUACUAUAAGAAUAAGCACCGGCUAACUCCGUGCCAGCAGCCGCGGUAAUACGGAGGGUGCAAGCGUUGUCCGGAUUUCAUUGGGUUUAAAGGGUGCGCAGGUGGUUUAUUAAAGUCAGUGGUGAAAGACGGUCGCUUAACGAUUGCAGUGCCAUUGAUACUGGUAGACUUGAGUGAAUUAGAGGUAGGCGGAAUUGAUCCGUGUACGCGGUGAAAUGCAUAGAUAUUAUCACAGAAACUCCGAUUGCGAAGGCAGCUUACUAUACAUUUAACUGACCACUUCAUGCACGCAAAAGUUGUUGGGGUAUCCAAACAGGAUU